AGUUAAAAUUUUUAUCAAUUUCUUCUGUUGAAAAUUGGUGUGCUUGACAAAAUAAUCAAACGGCUACAUGUGGCAUGUUAUUUGUACAUUAUGCUAACGUAUAAAGACUAAUUUUUAAUAAUAAAAAUAAAUAAAAUUUUUAAUA
rfam:Gossypium hirsutum cultivar TM-1 chromosome 10, whole genome shotgun sequence